UACGUAGGGUGCGAGCGUUAAUCGGAAUUACUGGGCGUAAAGCGUGCGCAGGCGGUUUUGUAAGCCAGAUGUGAAAGCCCCGGGCUUAACCUGGGAAUGGCAUUUGGGACUGCAAGGCUUGAGUGCGGCAGAGGAGACUGGAAUUCCUGGUGUAGCAGUGAAAUGCGUAGAUAUCAGGAGGAACACCGGUGGCGAAGGCGGAUCUCUGGGCCAUUACUGACGCUGAGGAGCGAAAGCGUGGGGAGCGAACAGG
rnacentral:rRNA from 1 species